rnacentral:rRNA from 1 species
UACCAGCACCCCGAGUGGUCGGGACGAUUAUUGGGCCUAAAGCAUCCGUAGCCGGUCCUGCAAGUCUUCCGUUAAAUCCAGCUGCUCAACAGAUGGGCUGCGGGGGGAUACUACAGGGCUAGGAGGCGGGAGAGGCAAGCGGUACUUUAUGGGUAGGGGUAAAAUCCGUUGAUCCAUAGAAGACCACCAGUGGCGAAGGCGGCUUGCCAGAACGCGCUCGACGGUGAGGGAUGAAAGCUGGGGGAGCAAACAGG